rnacentral:rRNA from 1 species
UACGGGGGGGGGCAAGCGUUGUUCGGAAUUACUGGGCGUAAAGAGCUCGUAGGCGGCUCAGCAAGUCGGCCGUGAAAGUCCGGGGCUCAACCCCGGGAUGCCGGUCGAUACUGCUGUGGCUAGGGUCCGGUAGAGGAGAGUGGAAUUCCUGGUGUAGCGGUGAAAUGCGCAGAUAUCAGGAAGAACACCAAUGGCGAAAGCAGCUCUCUGGGACGGUACUGACGCUGAGACGCGAAAGCGUGGGGAGCGAACAGG